AGCACACGAUCACAGACUGCUUUAAACAACCAGCGGAAGCAUUUUUCUCUUUCACACCGUUAGCCCUGAGACGCGACUCUUCGGACAGAUUAACAGACACACUCACACAGGCGGCCAGCAGUCUGGACUCUCAUCUACAAAACCUGAAAUUAUCCGAAGCUCUGGGGGAUGAUAAGCAUCUCCAAGUGUCCAUAUCUGCUGUCACCACCUCCACUGGACAGAAAGAUAUCUUUUCUAAUGUUUUUUUUCUGUUUGAUCUUUCCCCCCUUCACUGCCUCCCUCACUUCUUUGAGUGGUUACAUAACACAUGAACGCUGCUAUUUGUUUGUGUAAACUGUUCGCCUUUGCUGAUACAAUCUCUCUAUACCUCUGUAAUUACAGUCCCUUUUUUUUUUUUAAAAAGUGGCCUUGUUGUUCACCAGAUGACAGAGUUCUCCAUCUCUCCGUGGCGCUGCCGACUGAAACAUGUUGCAUCGUUUAGCCACUCCAGUUCCCUUUGAUUGCUCAACAUGCAUUUUUUCUCACCAUUUUUCAUUUUCUCAGGGGAAAUCAAACUUGGAGGUCACUCUAAAGUUUCUAAGUCUUUUGAGAAUUGAAAAAAUAUCUAUACAACUUUAUCAAAGGGGAAGAUAAACAUCAUUCGCCUUAGCUUUUUUAUGUUUACAUGAAGUUUGUAUCUUGGUCUGCAGUGCUGUACACAUAUUUUAAAUCACUUUGAAUUCUGUUUUAAUUUACCAUUUCAUAUUUGAUGCUUUUUCUGCUUAUUUACUUCAUAACAUGAUAUAAUAUUGUUCAAUAUUUGAUAGAAAAAUCUGGAAAACAUACAAUAAAUAAAGUGGAAUUAUCAGGGCUAAGAAAGCGGCCUGGUUCAAAUGAACAG